rnacentral:lncRNA from 1 species
AUAAUAGUAACGUUUUUUUUGUUAUCGUAGUUGAAUAAAAAGAUAACGCUGUCAAAAAAAAAAAAAAGAGGACAAGAGAAGUUUGGAUGGAUUAAAACAAAAAAAAAAUUAAAAAAAAAUAAUUGUGUAUCAUGUAAUAUGGGCAAACAUGUCAUUAUUAUAGAAUAUACAUAGAAUAUUAUAGUUUUAUGGUUAGAAUAGCUAGUUAGUUAAUUAAAGUUUUUUUUUUGGUUAUACACUCAAAU